CGCGGGGUGGAGCAGCCUGGUAGCUCGUCGGUCUCAUAACCCGAAGGUCGUCGGUUCAAAUCCGGCCCCCGCAACCA
rnacentral:tRNA from 1 species